rnacentral:misc_RNA from 1 species
CGCACAUUGCGCCCCUUGGUAUUCCGGGGGGCAUGCCUGUUCGAGCGUCAUUUCAACCCUCAAGCUCAGCUUGGUCUUGGGCACUGCCGGUACACGGCUUGCCUAAAAAUCAGUGGCGGUGCCCAUUCGAGCUCUACGCGUAGUAAUUAUACCCUCGCGAUUGAGUUGUGUGGAUGCUGGCCAGCAACCCCUAAAUUUUAAUGGUUGACCUCGGAUCAGGUAGGGAUACCCGCUGAACUUAA